GCUGUGAUGGCCGAGUGGUUAAGGCGUUGGACUUGAAAUCCAAUGGGGUCUCCCCGCUCAGUUUCAAAUCCUGUUCACAGGGCU